CGGGAGCAGCGGUUCUGCAGGGCAUUCUGGGAAAGCUCCCGGAAGGGUGGGCGGCUGGCCUCACGUGGACCACCCGCUGUCGGUCCUGAAAGGGGCCCCGAGGGCAGGGGAGCCGCGCUGUGACCGCGGGGCAGGCCUCACCGAGGACGCCGAGGGAGGUGGAGGAGGAGGCCGGGCUCGCGGGCGUGUGAGAGCUGCCGGACGCCUCGGUGGGUGAGAAGAAUAACCCGGACUCGUCUUCGCCUCUGCUGGGCGGGUUCUCUGCUGACUGUACGAGUGACAUUGGACAGGUGACGCGGUACCAGAGGGACCCCAGGAAGCCUGGCCCAGACCCCUCCUCACCCAUGGCAGCGAUGCAGGGGCCCCCAGGGGGCUGGGCCUCUCUGAGCCUCCGUCUCUCGUGUGUAACUAGGGCAACAGGCUCGGGGACGCCAGCCUCGCAGGGAUCAGAGGAGGAUGACAGGACGUAAAGCCUUUGAGGGCUUCUGUCCUGGGACGCAGGGAGGCUGGGGGCCGUCCUGAUCUCUGAAUGGUCAGCAACUGACCUGGGACAACCCCCACCUGCUCUCUGGCCCUCGGUUAUCUCAUGUUUAAGUAGGAGAGUGGAUACACCUCGCGAAGGGUGACAUUGUUCAAGGGAGAGAGGGUGUCAGUGUUGAUGUAUCGACUUCAGGAUGGCUGAUGGUUCCCGCCAGGGGCGGUGAGGCCGGCAGGUGAGGGUUCGUGGAGCCCAGAAGUGGUGUGGUGAGAGUGCGUUAGAUUGGGAGCCAGGAGCCCUUCGGCGGAUGUUUCUGCCUGCCUGGGAAAGCCGCUGCUGCCCUGGGCCUCAGUUUCCCCCCUAUAAGAUGCAGGGUUUUGACUAGAUGACCAUGAACAGCCUCACCAUCUCUGGUACUCUUGGAGUUAACUUUUCCGCUCUCUCACAGACCCGCAGGGAGGCAGGGCCGGGUGGUAGAGGCUGGAGUCAGCUCCCACUCAGGAGUGUGAAAUGCCCCAGACCCUCUGAGAGAGAACUCCAGCAGGGCCCAGCUGGAUAUGUCUACUGAGACACCUGCCCAUGCAGGGGAAGGGGUGGAGGGGGCAGGGAAGUGAUGAGGGACCCCUUUUCCCAGUCACCCAGAGCAGGGUGGGCUCUGGGCGGUGCAGGCUGCCCUGCCCGGUUUGGUUAAGAGCAAGGCUCACCUUGCAGAGAGUUCACUGUGAUUCAGCGGCAGCUUGGAGCAGAUGGACACCCACUGGGACAAGCUCUCUCUGAGAAGACCUAGGUCAUCUGCUAAUGAGCCGUGUGACCUUGAGACAGUCACUUCCUCUCUCUGAGUCUCUGUUGCCGUAUCUCUAAACAUGAUGAUGUCAGACCAGGUGCUUUUGAAGAUCCAGCGCUCAAAUAUAGGAUUCUAGAUUUGGAGUAGUAGUGGUUGUACUCUCAUUAGGCUGUUGGGAAGAUGAAAUGAGAUCAGAUGUGCUGUGUGGGUGCUAGGCUUUUCUCCCCCAUUCCUCUUGAUUUCAUUUCAUCCAUUUGCUUUGCUGGUCCCCCACCCUAAGCCCGGUGGAAGUAUCUGUGGGCUAUUGCCAUCCAGUACCCUGGCACCCUUUUACUAGUAAAGCUGUGCCCAGAAUUUCCCUCUCACCUACUCUCAGCCCAUCCCAGACUUAGGCUGGGCCAACCUCACCCCCAGAUUCUGGUAUGGUCCCUGAUUGGAUUAAGCCAGUCACCCUGUUCCGGCUCACUGGCCUUCCUGAUUGGUUCAGGCAUAGGGUAUGGCCCUUGGAGCCAAUGGGAGUUGGCCCAGGAGUUUGGUUAGCUGUUGGAGAAGCUCUCUCUUAUCUGCUGGACUUCAGUUGGAGUGGAAAACCAUCUGGCCACCAAGAAGGGGGCCGUGGGCGUGGCUUUGCACAGGAGAGAGCCGCUAAGCGAUAGAGAAGGCCCUGAUGGCAUCAUUCGAGCCCCUGCAACAAGGUCGAACUAAAAGUCCUUCCACCCCUACUUCUACUCACACCCACCCAGCUUCUCAGUGAUGUAAAACCAAUAAAUCCCUCUGAGCUCAAGCCAAGGUGUGCUGAGGUCCCUGUCGCAGGACGUGGAAGAGCCUGACAGCUGUACCCCAAGCAUCUAGGGCUCCAGGCCGAGCCCAGCACAGAGCUCUGCUGUCCCAGCCUCUCCCCCAGGGUGCAAGUCUGGUUCGUCUCCCGCUGCCCCUUCUCCCCAGUGUCUUCCCUUCCACAGAGGAGGCUGCAGAAACCACCCCAUGAUGGCAUCUCCUAGGGUGAGGGCACGUUCUCCCCAGACUCUGAUGACCCGAGCAGCCCUGUCACUGCAAGACCUGGCGUCGCAUGUGACCAUGAGGGCUGCAGUGUCAGCAUGGUGGGUCCAGGCACUGCCUGCCAUCCUCUGGCAGAAGGUGGGUUCGAGCUGGGAAGCCACCGGGCAGAUUUAAGGUGCGGGGAGAGGGGCAAUCACACAGAACCCUUUAGAGUCAAGGCUCGAUCUGGGAGGGGUCUUAGAAAUAACCUUGUUCUGCAGAUGUGCAGACUAAGCCCAGAGACGUUGAGUGACUUACUUCACGUCACACAGUGGUGUGGAGACUGAGCUGGAUGGACCCAGACCCCAGAUCUCCUGAUUCUGAGUCCAGUUGUUGCUUUUAGUCUGCCCCAGUAUCCUCCCAGGAGUACUCGUGUUUCCUCCCAGGACCCCCCAGGACCUCUCCUUCCCUUUAUGAAUCUUGACAGAGUGGGAGCUCAGCAGCCCCUCCCAUGGAAUCCUCGCUGUCUCCCAGUGUCUACACCACCCUGAACACGCGCAGUGACGCAGAAGGUCUUCUUGGGUCUUCCUCCAUCGGCAGGUCCUGCAGUGUGGAUUCGGGGGGCUGGGGAGGGUGGGCACCACUGCAUCUGCUGCACUCUGGUUCCCAAGCCCUGCUCCUUUUCUCGGAUCUUACGGACGCCCUUCUUCACCCGAGUCAGCAUCUCCCCUCAGCUGCGUCCAGCGCCACAGAAAGUGUGUUGCCCACAUCCUUGACUCUCCACGUCUGGUCGCCUGGAUGUGGACCCACCCUCCUGCUGCCGCUGAGACAUGGCUUCCAGAACCCUGCAGGGAGAGCCCGCGCUGCAGCCGCUCCCAAGUCCGUCCUGGCCGCUGUUUACCUGGAAUCAUCCCGUGGGUCCCGCCAAGCAGAUGUUAGAGAUCUUCUCCUGGAACCACAGGCCGGGCCCACAUGGCCGGCAGACGCCCACCCCACUCCCGAGAGGACCUUGUUUAACCAGGGUCCCCAUGCGCUGCGUCUGCAAGAAGCCUGCCCAACUGCGGACUUGGCGGCCAUCCCAAGAGGGCUGUCACUGAAACUGACCACAGUGGGCGAAGGGCUCUGGGGGAAGAUCUCAACAGUGGGACCGCUGGCCUCAAGGCAAAACUCAAGGCCAUCAGCUGUUUGGGUAAAAUGCAAUGAUGUCCAUGAAAUUGUCAUUAAACUCUUGCUUGCGUGAAUAAUUGAGCAUGAGAUCCACGUGCACUGACUUCCUGGGGCCUGCUCAGGAGGGAGGCUGGGGCGACCUGGGCUUCAGGUGCCGGGCUCUGAGGGAGUCCGCAAACGCCCAGGGACCGAGGGGCCAAAGCAGGUCUGCACACUUGCCAGGCCCAGGAGCUGCUCCUUUAUCUCUUCUCAGGGAAGGCAUUUUCUGCCCAUUUCCUGCUCUGCCUGGCCCAGCAGGAAGGGCGCGGUGAGAGGAGCAGAUGGGAGGAAGAGACAGAAAAGCAAGAGGCCUUGAGGGUUGGAGUUGAAGUCCCGCUAAACCCAAGGUACACGUCAUGAUUCUGCAGCUUGCUAGCUGUGUGACCUUUAGCAAUUCACUGUACCUCUCUGAGCUUCAAUUUCCUUAUCUGAAAAAUAAGGACCGUAACUCUCAUCUUUUCAGAAAUGUUGAUCAAUUUCUCCAGGUCCGUCCCUCCCUGCCCAGCCCACAGCCCUGAUAAGUUCUCUCCCCCCUCCCACCAUCACCACCAACCCUCAGCUUAUUAGCAGCAUUGAGGUGGACACCUGGUCCACACUGGACAAAUAUCAGAUUUUCCCUCCCAGGAGUCUCGGUUUGGAACAUGGAGACAGUCAUUAAGCUGUGGAAGCCAGCUGGAAGAGCACGUGGCUCAGGGAUGGAGGCCGCCAUUUUGGCAUGGCCUUGGUGGAUGGGAAGUGAGCAGAAAGCCGGCUACAGCAGGAGGGAAAAAGAUGGGUAGAGGGAGCUAGAGAUGAGUCAGACUGCAGAUCCAGUCAGAGACAGAGGCAGACACAGAGACAGGGAGGGGCCCUGUCAGGUGACCCAAGACCCAGGACAUUGGCUG
ensembl:lncRNA